UACAGAGGUCUCAAGCGUUGUUCGGAUUCAUUGGGCGUAAAGGGUGCGUAGGCGGCGCGGUAAGUCGGGUGUGAAAUCUCGGAGCUUAACUCCGAAACUGCAUUCGAUACUGCCGUGCUUGAGGACUGGAGAGGAGACUGGAAUUUACGGUGUAGCGGUGAAAUGCGCAGAUAUCAGGAGGAACACCGGUGGCGAAGGCGGGUCUCUGGGCCGAUACUGACGCUGGAGGAGCGAAAGCGUGGGGAGCA
rnacentral:rRNA from 1 species